GUUAGCAGGCUUGCCUUACUAAAGGAAGUACUUCAAGCUGAAAUGAAACGCUAUGGUACCAGAUGGUAACUUGAAGAAAAAGAAGAGCAGAAGUUAAUUUCAGAGAUGUUCUCAAAUAGUGAUGAAGCUGUAAUCAAUAAAAAACUUCCCAAAGAACUCCUGUUACGGAUAUUUUCUUUUCUAGAUGUUGUUACCCUGUGCCGCUGUGCUCAGGUCUCCAGGGCCUGGAAUGUUCUGGCUCUGGAUGGCAGUAACUGGCAGCGAAUUGACCUAUUUGAUUUCCAGAGGGAUAUUGAGGGCCGAGUAGUGGAGAAUAUUUCAAAACGAUGUGGGGGCUUUUUACGAAAGUUAAGUCUUCGUGGAUGUCUUGGAGUGGG
rnacentral:lncRNA from 10 species